rnacentral:rRNA from 1 species
UACAGAGGUCUCAAGCGUUGUUCGGAUUCAUUGGGCGUAAAGGGCGCGUAGGCGGCGCGGUAAGUCGGGUGUGAAAUCUCGGAGCUUAACUCUGAAACUGCAUUCGAUACUGCCGUGCUUGAGGACUGGAGAGGAGACUGGAAUUUAUGGUGUAGCGGUGAAAUGCGUAGAUAUCGUAAGGAAGACCAGUGGCGAAGGCGGGUCUCUGGACAGUUCCUGACGCUGAGGCACGAAGGUCAGGGGAGCAAACAGG